rnacentral:rRNA from 1 species
GACGAACGCUGGCGGCGUGCCUAAUACAUGCAAGUCGAGCGGAUGGAUGGGAGCUUGCUCCCAGAAGUCAGCGGCGGACGGGUGAGUAACACGUGGGCAACCUGCCCCUAAGAUCGGGAUAACUUCGGGAAACCGGAGCUAAUACCGGAUAUGAUUAUGUCUCACAUGAGACAUAAUGGAAAGACGGUUUCGGCUGUCACUUAGGGAUGGGCCCGCGGCGCAUUAGCUAGUUGGGGAGGUAACGGCUCACCAAGGCGACGAUGCGUAGCCGACCUGAGAGGGUGAUCGGCCACACUGGGACUGAGACACGGCCCAGACUCCUACGGGAGGCAGCAGUAGGGAAUCUUCCGCAAUGGACGAAAGUCUGACGGAGCAACGCCGCGUGAGUGAAGAAGGUUUUCGGAUCGUAAAACUCUGUUGUUAGGGAAGAACAAGUACCAUAGUAACUGAUGGUACCUUGACGGUACCUAACCAGAAAGCCACGGCUAACUACGUGCCAGCCGCCGCAGUAAAAC